AGGCAUUUAGUGGCGGACGGGUGAGUAACGCGUGAGAAUCCACCUUCAGGUCGGGGACAACAGUGGGAAACUGCUGCUAAUACCGGAUGUGCCGAAAGGUAAAAGGCUUGCUGCCUGAAGAAGAGCUCGCGUCUGAUUAGCUAGUUGGAGAGGUAAAAGCUCACCAAGGCGACGAUCAGUAGCUGGUCUGAGAGGAUGACCAGCCACACUGGGACUGAGACACGGCCCAGACUCCUACGGGAGGCAGCAGUGGGGAAUUUUCCGCAAUGGGCGAAAGCCUGACGGAGCAAUACCGCGUGAGGGAGGAAGGCUCUUGGGUCGUAAACCUCUUUUCUCAGGGAAGAAGAAAGUGACGGUACCUGAGGAAUCAGCAUCGGCUAACUCCGUGCCAGCAGCCGCGGUAAUACGGAGGAUGCAAGCGUUAUCCGGAAUCAUUGGGCGUAAAGAGUCCGUAGGUGGCGCAUCAAGUCUGUCGUUAAAGAGCAGGGCUUAACCCUGUAGAGGCGGUGGAAACUGAUGAAGCUAGAGUACGGCAGGGGUAGAGGGAAUUCCCAGUGUAGCGGUGAAAUGCGUAGAGAUUGGGAAGAACACCGGUGGCGAAAGCGCUCUACUAGACCUGUACUGACACUGAGGGACGAAAGCUAGGGGAGCGAAUGGGAUUAGAUACCCCAGUAGUCCUAGCCGUAAACGAUGGAUACUAGGUGUUGUCUGUAUCGACCCGGACAGUGCCGGAGCUAACGCGUUAAGUAUCCCGCCUGGGGAGUACGCACGCAAGUGUGAAACUCAAAGGAAUUGACGGGGGCCCGCACAAGCGGUGGAGUAUGUGGUUUAAUUCGAUGCAACGCGAAGAACCUUACC
rnacentral:rRNA from 1 species